rnacentral:misc_RNA from 1 species
GAUGAAGAACGCAGCGAAAUGCGAUAAGUAAUGUGAAUUGCAGAAUUCAGUGAAUCAUCGAAUCUUUGAACGCACAUUGCGCCGGUCAGUAGUCUGGCGGGCAUGCCUGUUCGAGCGUCAUUACGCCCCUCAAGUCCCCUGUGGACUUGGUGUUGGGGAUCGGCGAGGCUGGUUUUCCAGCACAGCCGUCCCUUAAAUUAAUUGGCGGUCUCGCCGUGGCCCUCCUCUGCGCAGUAGUAAAACACUCGCAACGGGAGCCCGGCGCGGUCCACUGCCGUAAAACCCCCCAACUUUUUAUAGUUGACCUCGAAUCAGGUAGGACUACCCGCUGAACUUAAGCAUAUCAAUAAGCGGAGGA